rnacentral:rRNA from 1 species
GACGAACGCUGGCGGCGUGCUUAACACAUGCAAGUCGUACGGUAAGGCCCUUUCGGGGGUACACGAGUGGCGAACGGGUGCGUAACACGUGAGUAACCUGCCCACAACUUUGGGAUAACGCUAGGAAACUGGUGCUAAUACUGGAUAUGUGCUCCUGCUGCAUGGUGGGGGUUGGAAAGCUCCGGCGGUUGUGGAUGGACUCGCGGCCUAUCAGCUUGUUGGUGGGGUAGUGGCCCACCAAGGCGGCGACGGGUAGCCGGCCUGAGAGGGUGACCGGCCACAUUGGGACUGAGAUACGGCCCAGACUCCUACGGGAGGCAGCAGUGGGGAAUAUUGCACAAUGGGCGCAAGCCUGAUGCAGCAACGCCGCGUGCGGGAUGACGGCCUUCGGGUUGUAAACCGCUUUCAGCAGGGACGAAGCUUUUUGUGACGGUACCUGCAGAAGAAGCACCGGCUAACUACGUG